UCUGGUGGAGGGAUCACCUCCUGACUGCGAGUUAAUGGAAGUAUGUAAUCACAGAGAAGUUCCUCGUGGGGGAAACAGGAGCAGCUUCACCUGAAGGUGGAGGAGAUCACCGAUGAUCACCUGGAUCAGCUGACUGACCCUUCAGGCCGCGAGCGUCUUCAUGAAGUUACGGUUCGGAGUUUCAAGGCAGUUGAAAGAGUGUUUUUGCUCUGAAUGACGGCAGAGCUGCACAGAUGUGAAGAGAAAACAAGACUUUUCACUUUCGUUUAGUUACUGGUUGUUCAAUAGUGGAUCCUAAACACAUCAGAGAACGAUGCAACCAGACGGGUAUGGAGGAGCAGGAAAAGGUGCUGGCAACACCCGGCAAACGUCGUCUGGAGGAGAGCCGGCCUCGGUUUGAUCAGCCGGGAUGAAACGAGGCUUUGGUGUCGGGCCGUCACGCCGCAGGACGAACACGAAGGUGACAGGAGGAAGAGAGAAGACGAGACUCACGGCGUGAAGAGGAGCGACAUGAAAGAAGCAUCUUCUGCU